UUCCGGUUGAUCCUGCCGGAGGACAUUGCUAUUGGGAUUCGAUUUAGCCAUGCUAGUCGAACGAGUUCACACUCGUGGCGCAUAGCUCAGUAACACGUGGCCAAGCUACCCUUCAGUCGGCAAUACCCUCGGGAAACUGAGGCUAAUGGCCGAUAUGGAACAGUCGCUGGAAUGCACUGUUUUCUAAAGACACCGCUGAAGGAUGCGGCUGCGGCCGAUUAGGUAGACGGUGGGGUAACGGCCUACCGUGCCAGUAAUCGGUACGGGUGAUGAGAGUCAGAGCCCGGAGACGGAAUCUGAGACAAGAUUCCGGGCCCUACGGGGCGCAGCAGGCGCGAAACCUUUACACUGCACGGAAGUGCGAUAGGGGAAUCCCAAGUGCGAGGGCAUAUUAGCCCUCGCUUUUGUUGACUGUAAGGUGGUCAACGAAUAAGAGCUGGGCAAGACCGGUGCCAGCCGCCGCGGUAAUACCGGCAGCUCAAGUGAUGUCCCAUAUUAUUGGGCCUAAAGCGUCCGUAGCUGGCCAGCCAAGUCCAUCGGGGAAUCCACCCGCCCAACGGGUGGGCGUCCGGUGGAAACUGGCUGGCUUGGAACCGGAAGGCUCAGAGAGUACGUCCGGGGUAGGAGUGAAAUCCCGUAAUCCCGGACGGACUAC
rnacentral:rRNA from 1 species